AGCAGCCGCGGUAAUUCCAGCUCCAAUAGCGUAUAUUAAAGUUGUUGCAGUUAAAAAGCUCGUAGUUGAAUUUCGGGAUCAAUAUGUUGGUCGUGCCUCGGUACGUACUAGCUUAUUGGUUUCUCCUUUCUGAAGAACCAUGAUGUCAUUUAUUUGGUGUCGUGGGGAAUCAGGACUGUUACUUUGAAAAAAUUAGAGUGUUUAAAGCAGGCUCACGCUUGAAUACAUUAGCAUGGAAUAAUGAAAUAGGACGUUUGAUUCUAUUUUGUUGGUUUCUAGGAUCGACGUAAUGAUUAAUAGGGAUAGUUGGGGGCAUUAGUAUUCAAUUGUCAGAGGUGAAAUUCUUGGAUUAUUGAAGACUAACUACUGCGAAAGCAUUUGCCAAGGAUGUUUUUCAUUAAUCAAGAACGAAAGUUAGGGGAUCGAAGACGAUCAGAUACCGUCGUAGUCUUAACCAUAAACUAUGCCGACUAGGGAUCGGAUGAUGUUAAUUUUUUU
rnacentral:misc_RNA from 1 species